CUACUUUUUAAUAGAACAAAGCAAUGGUCCAAGCUUCGUCUUCAUCCACCCGCAUCUCUUCAAUAACUGAUGAUCUUAUCGCCCCUCUCCCCCUUACCUGCAACAAGGGAUACAUCAGAUGGUAUGUAUCAAGGACGGAGCUGAAUCCAGGUCGUCACUUCUACACUUGCGAGCGAAAAGAGAUCCGUGAGUGCAUUUUCUGGGAGUGGGAGGAAGACUACAUCGCUUUCCUCCGCGCAAGGUGGAUCAGUGUUUUUGGGGCGAAUGACGGACAAGCAGAGUUCACGAGAAAAAGCCUAAGCAACCAGGCCGACAUCAAAAACUUGCUUAUCCUGACUCUUGUAGCAGCAUGUUGUGUUGUAGCAGCGUGUUCGGGCUGGUUUUAGUUUCAGAUCUUGUAAUCACGCAACCUGAAUGAUGUUUUUUAGUAGUUUCAGGUUU